CAGCAGCCGCGGGAAUACGAAGGGGGCUAGCGUUGCUCGGAUUUACUGGGCGUAAAGGGCGCGUAGGCGGACAGUUAAGUUGGGGGUGAAAGCCCGGGGCUCAACCUCGGAAUUGCCUUCAAUACUGGCUGUCUUGAGUGUGAGAGAGGUGUGUGGAACUCCGAGUGUAGAGGUGAAAUUCGUAGAUAUUCGGAAGAACACCAGUGGCGAAGGCGACACACUGGCUCACUACUGACGCUGAGGCGCGAAAGCGUGGGGAGCAAACAGGAUUAGAUACCCGUGUAGUCCCUGUCUCUUAUAC
rnacentral:rRNA from 1 species